rnacentral:rRNA from 1 species
GGUGUAGCGAUGAAAUGCGUAGAGAUCCGGAAGAACACCGGGGGGGAAGGCGGCCUUCUGGACAGUAACCGACGCUUAAGCGCGAAAGCUAGGGGAGCAAGAUGAUUAUAUACCCUGGUAGUCCUAGCCAUAAACGAUGGGCACUUGGUGUGGGGGGGACCAACCCUGUUCCUGCCCAAAAAAAUUUUAAGCCUCCCGCCUGGGAAGUACGGCCGCAUGGUUAAACUCAAAGAAAUUGACACCCGCCACCAAGCGGGGGGUGUGGGGGUUUAUUUCACCCCACAGCAAAAAACUUACCCUGGCUUUGAC